UAGCACAGUGGUUAAGAGCUUGGCUGCUAACCAAAAGGUUGGUGGUUUGAAUCCACC
rnacentral:tRNA from 1 species